CCUACGGGGCGCAGCAGUGGGGAAUUUUGCGCAAUGCUCGUAAGAGUGACGCAGCGACGCCGCGUGAAUGACGAAGGCCUUCGGGUCGUAAAGUUCUUUCGACAGGGAAGAAAAUGCCUAUAAGUAACUGUGUAUGUAUUGACGGUACCUGUAUAAGCAGCCCCGGCUAACUCCGUGCCAGCAGCCGCGGUAAUACGGAGGGGGCGAGCGUUGUUCGGAGUGACUGGGCGUAAAGAGCACGUAGGCGGUGUUGUAAGUCAUUAGUCAAAGACUAGAGCUCAACUUUAGUAAGGCUAGUGAUACUAUAAUACGAGAGUAUCAGAGAGGAUUGCAGAAUUCCUGGUGUAGCGGUGAAAUGCGUAGAUAUUAGGAGGAACACCAGUGGCGAAGGCGGUCUGCUGGACAGCAACUGACGCUGAGGCGCGAAAGCGUGGGGAGCAAACAGGAUUAGAUACCCUAGUAGUC
rnacentral:rRNA from 1 species